rnacentral:rRNA from 1 species
GGAUCAAAGGAGCUUGCUCCCUGAGAUCAGCGGCGGACGGGUGAGUAACACGUGGGUAACCUGCCUGUAAGACUGGGAUAACUCCGGGAAACCGGGGCUAAUACCGGAUAACUCAGUUCCUCGCAUGAGGAACUGUUGAAAGGUGGCUUUUCCCUACCACUUACAGAUGGACCCGCGGCGCAUUAGCUAGUUGGUGAGGUAACGGCUCACCAAGGCGACGAUGCGUAGCCGACCUGAAAGGGUGAUCGGCCACACUGGAACUGAGACACAGCCCAAACUCCUACGGGAGGCAGCAAUAGGGAAUCUUCCGCAAUGGACGAAAGUCUGACGGACCAACGCCGCGUGAGUGAAGAAGGUUUUCGGAUCGUAAAACUCUGUUGUUAGGGAAGAACAAGUGCCGUUCGAAUAGGGCGGCGCCUUGACGGUACCUAACCAGAAAGCCACGGCUAACUACGUGCCACAGCCGCGGUAUACGUAGGUGGCAAGCGUUGUCCGGAAUUAUUGGGCGUAAAGCGCGCGCAGGUGGUUUCUUAAGUCUGAUGUGAAAGCCCACGGCUCAACCGUGGAGGGUCAUUGGAAACUGGGGAACUUGAGUGCAGAAGAGGAAAGUGGAAUUCCAAGUGUACGGUGAAAUGCGUAGAUAUUUGGAGGAACACCAUGGCGAAGCGACUUUCUGGUCUGUACUGACACUGAGGCGCGAAAGCGUGGGAGCAAACGGAUUAGAUACCCUGGUAGUCCACGCCGUAACGAUGAGUGCUGAGUGUAAGAGGGUUCCGCCUUUAGUGCUGCAGCUACGCAUUAGCACUCCCCUGGGAGUACGGCGCAGACGAACUCAAGGAAUGACGGGGCCCCCAACGUGGAGCUGUGUUUAUUCGAGCACGCAAGACCUACCAGUCUGACUCUCGACACCUAAAAUGGCUUCCCUCGGGG